GCCUUUUGUGUUGCCCGUUCACUUUGGCCACUGGUGCACGAGGUGUCAAAAAAGGCGCAAAGGAAGACUUUGCAGCCUCCUCUCGGCAGGCAUCUGCGUGCCUUGGCCGAGUGUGCUGGCAAAGUGACAGUC
rnacentral:snoRNA from 15 species